rnacentral:rRNA from 1 species
GACGAACGCUGGCGGCGUGCCUAAUACAUGCAAGUCGAGCGGUGAAGGUUGGUACUUGUGCCGACUGGGUGAGCAGCGAACGGGUGAGUAACGCGUGGGGCAUCUGCCUUUGAGCGGGGGACAACAUUUGGAAACGAAUGCUAAUACCGCAUAAAAACUUUAUACACAGGGUUUAAGUUUGAAAGAUGCAAGUGCGGCAGUCAAGGAUGGUCCCGCGGUUUAUUAGCUAGUUGGUGGGGUAAAGGCUCACCAAGGCGUUGAUAGGUAGCCGGACUGAGAGGGUGACCGGCCACAUUGGGACUGAGAUACGGCCCAGACUCCUACGGGAGGCAGCAGUGGGGAAUAGUGCACAAUGGGCGGAAGCCUGAUGCAGCAACGCCGCGUGCGGGAUGACGGCCUUUGGGUUGUAAACCGCGUGCGCCUGUGACGAAGCGUGAGUGACGGUAAUGGGUAAAGAAGCACCGGCUAACUACGUG